CGCUUGGGCUGAGGUUCGGUAACGUCUCAACUGGCUGUCAAAACGUUAGCGCGAUACCGAAUCGUACCAAAAGUCUAUCAACGUCCGAGUUUCAUUUGCGCUUCAGUUGAAAAAAUUUAGCGCGAUUGCCCUGCAGUACUACACUUCCUGAGCAUU